rnacentral:rRNA from 1 species
AGAGUUUGAUUCUGGCUCAGAACGAACGCUGGCGGCGCGUUUUAGGCAUGCAAGUCGAGCGGCAGGGGGGCUUCGGUCCCCCGAGAGCGGCGGACGGGUGAGUAACACGUGGACAACCUGCCCCCCGGUUCGGGAUAGCCCAGGGAAACCUGGAUCAAUACCGGAUGCGAGGGCGGCCGCACAAGCGGCCGUCGGGAAAGGCGCUUCGGCGCCGCCGGGGGAUGGGUCCGCGUCCCAUUAGCUAGACGGUGGGGUAACGGCCCACCGUGGCGAUGAUGGGUAGCCGGCCUGAGAGGGUGGACGGCCACAUUGGAACUGGGACACGGUCCAGACUCCUACGGGAGGCAGCAGCUAAGAAUCUUCCGCAAUGGGCGAAAGCCUGACGGAGCGACGCCGCGUGAACGAAGAAGGCCGUGAGGUUGUAAAGUUCUUUUCGGGAGGGGGAACGAGGCUGCCAGGCAAUGGGCGGCCGAUGACGUGAAUCCCGGAAUAAGCCCCGGCUAACUACGUGCCAGCAGCCGCGGUAACACGUAGGGGGCGAGCGUUGUUCGGAAUCAUUGGGCGUAAAGGGCAUGUAGGCGGUUUUGAAAGCUUGAUGUGAAAUCCCACAGCUUAACUGUGGAACUGCAUUGAGAACUACAAGACUAGAGUUACUGAAGGGAAACUAGAAUUCCAAGUGUAGGGGUGAAAUCUGUAGAUAUUUGGAAGAAUACCAAUGGCGAAGGCAAGUUUCUGGCAGAUAACUGACGCUGAGGUGCGAAGGUGCGGGGAGCAAACAGGAUUAGAUACCCUGGUAGUCCGCACAGUAAACG